ACGGAAGGCAGCAGUGGGGAAUAUUGGGCAAUGGGCGCAAGCCUGACCCAGCAACGCCGCGUGAAGGAAGAAGGCUUUCGGGUUGUAAACUUCUUUUGGGAGGGAAGAGAAGAAGACUGUACCUCUCGAAUAAGCCACGGCUAACUACGUGCCAGCAGCCGCGGUAAUACGUAGGUGGCCAGCGUUGUCCGGAUUUACUGGGUGUAAAGGGCGUGUAGCCGGGUUUGCAAGUCAGAUGUGAAAUCUAUGGGCUUAACUCAUAAACUGCAUUUGAAACUGUAGAUCUGGAGUAUCGGAGAGGCAAUCGGAAUUCCUAGUGUAGCGGUGAAAUGCGUAGAUAUUAGGAGGAACACCAGUGGCGAAGGCGGAUUGCUGGACGACAACUGACGGUGAGGCGCGAAAGCGUGGGGAGCAAACAGGAUUAGAUACCCUGGUA
rnacentral:rRNA from 1 species